rnacentral:rRNA from 1 species
CACGUAGUUAGCCGGUGCUUAUUCUUCAGGUACCGUCAUGAGGUACGGAUAGUAGCCGUACCCUUUUCUUCCCUGACAAAAGAGCUUUACAACCCGAAGGCCUUCUUCACUCACGCGGCAUUGCUGGAUCAGGGUUGCCCCCAUUGUCCAAAAUUCCCCACUGCUGCCUCCCGUAGGAGUCUGGACCGUGUCUCAGUUCCAGUGUGGCUGGUCGUCCUCUCAGACCAGCUACUGAUCGUCGCCUUGGUGAGCCUUUACCUCACCAACUAGUUAAUCAGAUAUCGGCUGCUCCAGGAGCAUGAGGUCUUGCGAUCCCCCACUUUCAUCCAUAGAUCGUAUGCGGUAUUAGCGUAACUUUCGCUACGUUAUCCCCCACUCUUGGGCACGUUCCGAUAUAUUACUCACCCGUUCGCCACUCGUCAGCGGAGCAAGCUCCCUGUUACCGUUCGACUUGCGUGUGUAAGCAUGCCGCCAGCGUUCAAUCUGAGCCAGGAUA